AUUGAACGCUGGCGGAAUGCUUUACACAUACAAGUCGAGCGGCAGCGCGGGGCAACCUGGCGGCGAGCGGCGAACGGGUGAGUAAUACAUCGGAACGUACCCAGUUGUGGGGGAUAGCCCGGCGAAAGCCGGAUUAAUACCGCAUACGACCUGAGGGUGAAAGGGGGGGAUCGCAAGACCUCUCGCAGUUGGAGCGGCCGAUGGCGGAUUAGCUAGUUGGUAGGGUAAAGGCCUACCAAGGCGACGAUCCGUAGCGGGUCUGAGAGGACGACCCGCCACACUGGAACUGAGACACGGUCCAGACUCCUACGGGAGGAAGCAGUGGGGAAUUUUGGACAAUGGGGGCAACCCUGAUCCAGCCAUUCCGCGUGAGUGAAGAAGGCCUUCGGGUUGUAAAGCUCUUUCGGCAGGAACGAAACGGUCCUUUCUAAUACAAAGGGCUAAUGACGGUACCUGAAGAAGAAGCACCGGCUAACUACGUGCCAGCAGCCGCCGUAA
rnacentral:rRNA from 1 species